AAGCCUAUCAGUGCACGUGCACCGAUUAAUGCUAUCGGGUGAGUGCAGAUCAAUUUGAUAGCCCAACCCAGCUGGAGAAGAAACAUCGAGCUACUCCAUAAAUGAAGACAGCUAUUGGUGCGAAGAUAAACAUGAUGGAAGCCAUCCAGGAUACAUCUUCUUCGGAAAGCGGAGCAUCCGAAGAAUGGACGGUCGAUGGGGCCGCAAAGUCUUGGAGUAGCGGCCACGGGCAGGCGUCCCGCAAGAUGGAUCGAUGGUCAAGGUUGCGGGAGCAUCCUGGAUGCACACAGGACCGGUCAUCGUGGCGAUCUUUGGGGGAGCCCUAUGCCCACCAGUGGGCGACUUAUGG